GACGAACGCUGGCGGCGUGCCUAAUACAUGCAAGUAGAACGCUGAAGGAAGGAGCUUGCUCUUUCUGGAUGAGUUGCGAACGGGUGAGUAACGCGUAGGUAACCUGCCUGGUAGCGGGGGAUAACUAUUGGAAACGAUAGCUAAUACCGCAUAAAAUUGAUUAUUGCAUGAUAGUCAAUUAAAAGGUGCAACUGCACCACUACCAGAUGGACCUGCGUUGUAUUAGCUAGUUGGUGGGGUAACGGCUCACCAAGGCGACGAUACAUAGCCGACCUGAGAGGGUGGUCGGCCACACUGGGACUGAGACACGGCCCAGACUCCUACGGGAGGCAGCAGUAGGGAAUCUUCGGCAAUGGACGGAAGUCUGACCGAGCAACGCCGCGUGAGUGAAGAAGGGUUUCGGAUCGUAAAGCUCUGUUGUAAGAGAAGAACGAGUGUGAGAGUGGAAAGUUCACACUGUGACGGUAUCUUACCAGAAAGGGACGGCUAACUACGUG
rnacentral:rRNA from 1 species